GUCAGAGAGGUUCAAAAAUUAAUGAGAUUCCCUGUGGAGUUCAAAUAGUAAUAUCUACGUGAGCUGUCACAAAAAGAUAAGAUUAUGAUGGUAUGUUUUCAACAUAGAUUUAACUGUCUUAUUUGGAACAUACUCCAUUUGAAAUAUAUAUGAAAUGUACAAUAGUUUAUGGAAGCCUAUAUGUUUUUGGAAAUUAGUCGGUUUUUUUAAUGAUGAGGAGAAAUUGACUCAAAAUUAGACUGUAGAGGAUGAACACUUUGUGUAGAGAUAUUACUAAAACUUAAUAGACAUUGUUAUGGCAAUAGAGAAUAUCUUAUACUUUCGAGGAAAUAAGAAAUAAUGAAUGAGUCGCACGCCAAAAAGAAAUCUGCAAAUGUGUUUUCAUUUUAAGUAAUACAAAAAAACUCAGCAGAUAUUUAUAGUGAAACAUUGCUGGCAUGAACAAAGAAGCAAGUGUACACAUAGAUGAGAAUUCUUUGUCACAAAAAUGAGUCCAGGACAUCGAUUUAGGAGGUUAAGUGAUUUUUAUGUUCUUAGUGCCCCACAAAAGGGAGUCUAUUGGGAUGAGUCCAGACAUUUAAAAAUGUACCAAAAACUUUCAUUUCCCACAAUUUAAAAGCAUUGUUUAUGUUCCUGAUACAACACAUUGUUUAAAUGAGGGGGACCGAAAAGCAGUCUGAAUAUGCAGUAAUCGGGGCUAAAGAUGGUUUUUAUCCCCAGGUCCCCAUUUACAAGAUCCAUUCGGAGCUUCCUGUGAUAUAUUGUUAUGUAAAUACUGUUCAGCCAGGGAAAGCAGUACUAUGGAGAUUCAAUUUACUUUGAAAGUUGUUCAUUAUAGCAGGGAUGAAUGUUAUUUAUUUGAUGUGAUUCAAAGGCUGGAAAUGACUUUUUCAUUGUGGCGCCUUUUGUAAUGGGUGCAGGGUGAUCUAAUCUUUUUAAUUUUGGCUUUCACACCAGUGGAGAUGAAAAGAGAUCUGAACUCAUUUAUCGGUUGCUAGGUCCUUCUGGAGGCCCAAGUCCUGUUGGUGGUUGCUAUGGCCAGUCUGACCUCAAUCUCCGUGGUUUUGGGGACUUAGCAGUCUUUUUUUUUUUUUUUUUAUUGAGGAGCAUGUACCUUGAUUUAUGUCCAAAAUUGUGGCUGAACGUCUUUGUCUGCAAGUGAUAAAUGGUGCCGAGCAAUUCAUCAGUUCUUACAAGUAAACACUGCUGUCCCACUAAAAAUAUGUUUUGUUCUGAGUUAAUGGUAUGGAACAAGGCAGCCUCCACAAACAGCUAUCUUUUAUUGUGGAGGGGCCACUGAAACUUGGAGCAAAGUGGAGGAGAUUGGCAUUCAUUUUCUUGUACAUUAGCAUUUCAUUUGUGAUUCGGAUGAUGCAGCUCUAGGUGGAUUGACUAUUAAAGGGUGAGCCUUCCAUCUCCUUACCUUCUCUCUAGUUGGGGUGCCUGUGAAACCGGCAGGCUCUCUCCAAAUGCCUGGAUUCUGCUGGGGGAGUAAGAAGUCAGGAGUAGUUUGUCUGAUGGUAUUGGGAUCUGCUUUGCAAUUGCCAAGCUCUAAGGCACAAGCUGGCAGAUGUGCUGCGGCUCUGCUACGGGCGGCUCUGUCGCCUUAAGUCGCAGGCUGGUUCUUUGGGGGAAAGUUUUAUCCAAUAUUGGUGACUCCCGGGAAUAGUCUGUUUGUGUGCUACUUAAUGGUCUCUAGGCUUUCUUGUCUUGUAGAACCUUGUUAGAAAGGAGCCUUGGUGAUUAAGAGGCUAUGGAGUACACAGCCUUGCUUAGCAGAUGAGCCCUUAUCCAUUUCCCGUUUCCUUAAAAACGGCUAAUUGAUGGAUGCUGCAGAAAACAUGCAGUCUGCUAAUAAGAUGCUGAUGACAAAAUAGGUAUCAGGAAAGGCAUUUAUUGCUUAUAAGCACCAUCAGCUUCCUUUCGAGUGAGAUUGUGGCUUUGUAGUAAAGUUUUUUUUUUUAAGUAAUAUGCUAAUAGUUUUAUUCUAAAUCGGCCAGCGCUGAAUAUCUUCAGGAAAAUGGGUUCCAUGAGAAGUGACAUCCUCCUCGAGUCAAAAGAUUCUCAGGAUGAUGGAGUGAGUGAUGGAAUAGGUUGCCAACUGUAAUUACUCCACUCAGCACAGAAUGGCUGCGGGGAAAUAUAAUCAGACAUGCCCAAAGAAGUCUGCUUAGGGUGAAACAAAUACCUUUGAGGUUUAAAUCAGAAAGGAAGGAGAGACUGUUUCUACAGGUGUCAUACAAAUAUCAAUACUGAGCCAAGGAUUAUUGGAUCCCAUAGAACCACGGAGACUUGGCAGUGAAAUUCUUCCAAAGCAUUCCAUCCGUGCAGGCAGAUGGUGUUCCUAGGUUUGGAAAUAUAAAUCCCAUGGGAAGUCAGCUGAAGACCAUUUUAUGCAUCACUCAUCCUGUUAGAGCCCUGUGCUGUUCUGUCUCUCUAUAAGACUGGCUGAAACCACAAUGGUUGUUUACAAUUUAUGCUCUAACUUUGGAUCACCUAGUUAAUACUCUGACUCCGAUUAUUACCAAAGACAAUGUUCUAUAAAAGAUAUUCUCUAUUAGAAGGAUGCUUCUGCAUUAUUAAUAAAAUCACAGGGAAAAUGCAACAUUUUGGAUGUCAUAUCUGAUAAGUGGGUGACUGAUCGUACCCGCCAGCUGGCUAAUGUCAUAAUUAACAAAGUUGCUACUACAUCUGCAAAGUUUAAUCGAAAAAUUUGCCAGUGAUAUGAUGGCAUUGUCACAGAGAACACAAGGGACACGGAGUCGACUUUUGCUCAAGGUGGAACGACAGAGCUGUGUAGGCAAGAUGAGAAAUUGCGAACUUGUUCGGCCAAAGGAGGCUAAUAAUGAAGGGGCCGGGAAGGAGGCCAGUGCUACCAGGGUUAUCUCACAACCUCAGAUGCUGGAUAAGUCGACGGAGGCAGAAUCGCUUUGGGAUGACAUUCAGAAAGGCUGGAGUGAUUACUUGCAAGAGAAAAGCCUACCUAUUCUUUCCAAGGUGCAGGAAUAUUCCCCUGACCUCAUCCAGUGGUCCAGUAAUGAAUUACUGGAGACCUGCCUUAGACAAAGAAUGCACUCGGAGCCCCAACACACCUAAAGCCACGCUUUGAAGGAUCUGCCAAGCUCACUUUUAAUCAUGAGAAAGAAAUUACCCACACGGAGUCAGCAGAAAAUGAGAAAGUAGAGCUCGUGCUGUGAAUAAUUCCAGCAAGUGCCAAGGGGCUAGUUGAGGAAUGGCUUCAUGAGAUGUUAGUCUAAAACAGCACCUUGGAUCUAAGCAGCACCUUUGAGAAAGAAAAGACUGCUUCAAGAAUGUCUAGUUGCACCUCCUUUCCGUAUGUGGCCUAAAUGCCUAGGUUGGAUCAAUAGUUUAAUUUUUUUAUUGAACUGUUUAAUAUUGACUAUGGACUUACAUUCACUUUUACUGUUUUCUGUAUAUUUAUUUUUGCUUGAAGUGUUUUAAUAUUGACUAUUUACCUCUGCUCAUUUUUAUUGAUUUUCUGUAUUUUUUCAAUGAAAAUUAUAAUAAAAAUUAUUUUCGUUA